rnacentral:rRNA from 1 species
AAUAUUGGACAAUGGGGGCAACCCUGAUCCAGCCAUGCCGCGUGAGUGAUGAAGGCCNNNGGGUUNUCAAGCUCUUUCACCGGNGACNAUAAUGACGGUAACCGGAGAAGAAGCCCCGGCUAACUUCGUGCCAGCAGCCGGGGUAAUACGAAGGGGGCUAGCGUUGUUCGGAUUUACUGGGCGUAAAGCACACGCAGGCGGAUUGGUCAGUUAGGGGUGAAAUCCCAGAGCUCAACUCUGGGAAUGCCUUUAAUACUGCCAAUCUUGAGUAUGGAAGAGGGAAGUGGAAUUGCGAGUGUAGAGGUGAAAUUCGUAGAUAUUCGCAGGAACACCAGUGGCGAAGGCGGCUUACUGGUCCAUUACUGACGCUGAGGUGCGAAAGCGUGGGGAGCAAACA